UACGUAGGCAGCGAGCGUUGUUCGGAAUUACUGGGCGUAAAGAGUGUGUAGGCGGUGCUCUAAGUUCGGUGUGAAAUCUCCUGGCUCAACUGGGAGGGUGCGCCGGAAACUGGAGUGCUUGAGCGUGGGAGAGGAAAGCGGAAUUCCUGGUGUAGCGGUGAAAUGCGUAGAUAUCAGGGAGGAACACCUGUGGUGUAGACGGCUUUCUGGACCAUUGCUGACGUGAGACACGAAAGCGUGGGUAGCAAACAGG
rnacentral:rRNA from 1 species